CUGUUUUAAAUGUUACACCCGGGUUACCUCAUUUAAUCCUUACAACUGCCCUGUGAGGUAGGUACUAUUAUUAUCUCUACUUUGUAGAUGGGAUUCACCGAGGCACAGACGGUUAAAAAACCUAGCCCAAAUAACACAAAUAAACAGCAGAGCAUGCAGUGCUAGAGUCUGCAUUCUUAACAAUUGCUAUAUUCUCCCUCUCCGUGAAUGUGGGCUGAGAUGCUGAAACAGGCAUGUGCUGUGGGGGAGAAAAAGCUUUGUCCAACCAAGUGCUUUCUAAUGUCCAGAUGACAUAGAGCUAGGAUUUCCUAAUGUCUUUUUUCCCCUAUUUUUCUCUCCAUUUCAGGGUUGAGUUUGUGCAUCGAUUGUGAACACAACAGGCAGCAGGCUAUAAUGGUGGUCCUGGCUGGAGUAGUUUUCACAGACUUCAGUAAUCUGUGGAGAUGAACGGGCAGUUCUCUGUAGUUUUCACAGAUCACUGCCAGUUCGUUUUGAGGCCUUCAGGAGUGAAGACCUGGCUCAUCAUCACUCUUUGUUGUUUUGUUAAAUUUAUUUACACCCUACUUUAUUCCAGAGGAAAGGAUUUAACGUAGUUUACAUAAAUGUGUACAUCAGGGUAAAUUAAAAAUAAGUACAGAGAAAAAUAGGACAAAAGAAAACCGUGAGUGUGAAAGAUAAGAUUAAGCCAGCAGUUUUGUAUGCAAAAUGCAUGGUGUAAGGUCCUAUUGGUUUGCUGGAGGUAGGCCACACAUAUGACUCUCAGUUUUCUAGCAACCAAGAAAAAGAUCAGUUGCAAUCGGAGUAGGUGUUUUGGCUAAGCUGGAACUAGGACUUGAAUAUAGCAGCUUGUAGAGUUAUACCACUUGCCCAAAUCUCUUCCAUGAGCCUCUUUAAGUGUAACAGAAUGCCUGGGAGCACGUAAAUGCUCCUACUUAGAUGCCUACUUAGCCUCUAAUUUUCAUGGGGCCCAUGAAUCCCAUGAAAAAGAACUUUGAACCCUGUCCACAAUUAGAGUUCAGGUAUACGCAGACAUGUUUAAAGACAAGGGACACCCAAAGGAAAGAUUGCACAGAGAGAAAGUGAGCAUCCGAGAGAAAAUCACCACAAGUGAGGCAGAGGGAGGCCGGUCUCAGCAGAGUUUUGGAGGUCGUGAGAAGAAGAGGUAGGAGAUAGGAGAGUGGUUCCGAGUACUUGCCUGCUGAUGUUACCUUCUCCACCCCCACCAGGUUUUCCAGUGCCUGGAGUCUUGGGCAGGAAUGGGCCACUGUAAGAAAGAGCUUUAUCACUAGGGCCUCAGCCAACUUUUCUGUGGGAUAUCCCUCCAAAAUAAUUAAGAGUUCAGAAUGCUUCAGAUUUUGAAGUGAAACUGGUACAUAUAUUAAGUGUUACUUAAUAACCCGAUAGUUUCUAGGGCAGCUCACCAUAAUCCCAAGUAUUAGCCACCACCCUCACCCCCUUCAGAGUAAAAUGUGUUUCCUGAAGGAAGUUGGGAAAAUGAAGAAAAAAAAUACAAAAAUCACCUAUAAUCUUACCAGUCAUAGAUGGCAGUUUUCCUGUCUUAUUUCUGAAUAAUGGUUGUUAAACAUUUGCCAGCACACCAUAAGGCUUAGGGAGGCAUCUGGGUCAUGCAUGUUAAUAUCCUUGGGUAAUUCCAGAAAUCUCUAUGAAGGGAAACUCCUGUUAUUUAUCUAGACUUCCUGAUUGCAAGGGGUUUGGGCAUCAUGAUUUAGGGGUCUUAAUAAAAUUAUUAUUUUAUUUUUACUAAUAGAUAAUGUCUGUGCCUAUCAGAUAAAGGCAAACCAGUGCUCAGAGGAACCCAACCAUCUCUGAAUUGAGACCAGAGAGCUGUCUCUAUGGAUAGUCCUUAGAGAAGGCAUUUCGGAACACAGUAAACAGCAGCCUGGUGACUCCGGUUAGUAAACGCAGCAAAGACUUUCAUAGGGAUGUUUUUCUUAUAUGCCUGUCAGUAUUAGCCAGUAGCCAAUCUGGUGUGAAAGUGAGUAAGUUUAGGUAGCAAAAUGUGGAGGGGGUGAUAUAUAGUUUUUUGCUGCUCUGGCUUAAUCCAAGAUGACUUUUAAAUGAAUGAAUCAACAUUCAUUGGGCUGUCCUUCCAUAAAUAUGAUUCUUCUCAAUCAAGUGUUUAAUAAGUCUUAAGUAGUGGUAAGUUGAAAUUUUACUAGUU
rnacentral:lncRNA from 1 species